CGCUUUUAACACAAAGUUAAUACGAGUCGUACUGAUAAGGUUUGCAAAUGAGUGUUUUCCUUAGCAUAUUUACACAGAAUUGGCAUUGUAAAUUAAAGUAUACACAAGUCACGAAGUGGUUUCCUUUUUCAGACGGUGCCUCUUCAGGAAACGGGCAUUGAUCAUUUUCAUCCUGUAUAAAAUAUUAAUACAAUUGCAUGACACCGGGUUUUCUCAUACUUCAUUACAAUUGCUAAUGCGAAAUCUGAAUUGCACUGACAAAUUUUGCAUAAUACUGAAAGCUAGCGCCACAAACUAUCUUUUUCCAGUAGGCGAUCGGCCGUCGACAGUUGAACAUUAUAAAGAUUUUAUUUCUCUAAAAGGAUAUUUACAUAAUUUUACUUUUCAUAGUUAUACAUUUACAUAGAGCGGAAUGUAUUUGUUAUUCAGCUCAUUACUAUGUGAUAUCACGUCUCUCAAAUGAACAAUCAGGAUUCACACAACACUUCGGACAUGAUUUAAAUGUUGUGUCCAGUUGGUCAAAGCUUUAAGAUGCGUUAACACGGAUAAGAUGACCCAGUACCUGUCUUCUACCCGUUCUGGUACAUUACAUCAAUUUAUCAAGAAUUCGAAAUGGAAUCUAGAUAUAUGCAAGAAGUUAAAACACCUACAGCUAUAUGGACACAUAACACAUUGAGUGGAAGGUAUGAUGCUUCACUAUAAGACAACUUAAACGUGGAAUGAUGGUGUUUUCCUGGCGAUUUGGUAUGAAUACUGAUGAGAAGCGGUCACUUCAACGCGCACCUGUUGACAGAAUAGUCAUCAAUACAUGUGUUAGACAGACUUAGAUAAUAUGAAGGCGGAGAAUGACUCAGGGAACAUAGUACAAAAUUAAAUCAUUGUGGCUAAUCAAUGUUUGUAAACUCAAUUUGUAUUGAAGAGCCCUACUGACGUUGAUUCUAUGUUUCCGGCGGCCAUAUUAGUAAGUGGGGCGUUGACAAAGAUGAUUACAGUAAUAAUUAAGUUUAUCGUCACACGAAGGACUCACUUAGAGGCAAUCCAUUCUCGUUGUAUAAAGGAAAACUUUAAAACAGAUUCCAACAACAGUCUAACCAGGGGCGGAUCCAGCCAUUUUUAAAA